GAGUAAUGUCUGGGAAACUGCCUGAUGGAGGGGGAUAACUACUGGAAACGGUAGCUAAUACCGCAUAACGUCGCAAGACCAAAGAGGGGGACCUUCGGGCCUCUUGCCAUCGGAUGUGCCCAGAUGGGAUUAGCUAGUAGGUGGGGUAACGGCUCACCUAGGCGACGAUCCCUAGCUGGUCUGAGAGGAUGACCAGCCACACUGGAACUGAGACACGGUCCAGACUCCUACGGGAGGCAGCAGUGGGGAAUAUUGCACAAUGGGCGCAAGCCUGAUGCAGCCAUGCCGCGUGUAUGAAGAAGGCCUUCGGGUUGUAAAGUAC
rnacentral:rRNA from 2 species